rnacentral:tRNA from 1 species
GCCAGUGUAGUUCAGUUGAUAGAACGCGGGUUUUGUACUCCCGAUAUCGCAGGUUUAAGUCCUGUCAUUGGCU